UCAUCCUCAUCUACAUCUUCUGAGAGUUCAUCAAAGGAUCUUUCCACGCUCAUUUUCUUUACCCGUUUCUUUGCCUGUGUAGAACCUGCCUCAGAAUCAAUAAGCAAUCGCUGCAUGUUCUUUGCUCUUUCAGUAAAUAUUGCAUGCAGUUCCUCAAAGAAUGGGCAAUGCAGACCAUUCUCAGGAUCAGAUGUCUCCUUGCCCUUGUAACGAUUGA
rnacentral:misc_RNA from 1 species